UCACCCCUCGAGCCCCCGGGCUUGGUGUUGGACGGCUUGGUUACGCUCCCCGCGUGACCCCUCCUAAAGACAAUGACGGCGGCCUCGUGGAGCCCCCGGUACACUGAGCUUCUUAACUGAGCACGUAUCGGAUCUAGGGCGCCCAGGCUCCGGUCCUCUCCCCUUUGUGGGGGAAAAACCUCUUUUUACAA
rnacentral:misc_RNA from 2 species